ACUACCAGACUUCUCAGACUCAAUCCUUUCUUGCUCUUCUCUCUCGAACAAAACCUCCCUCACCGGGAAUCGCUCCGCCGUGCCGGAGGCGGCGGAGCUUGACCAAAUCUGGAAAUUAUGACCUCGCUACAAACCUCUCUUCAUCCUCUGUCAGAAUCCCGCAUCAAUUUCGCCUGAAAGAGGCUCCCUCCUCCCAAAUCGAGAGAGGGAUUACGAACCCUAGAUCUAACAAUAAACCAAAUUAGACGAUAACAACCGCGAAUCAUGAAGCGAGGCCAUGGGGGAAGAAUUCAGGGGACACUGAUAUUCGUUAUAACAUCAAACAAUAGCGUAAAGAGAUGAAGAAAGUUGGAGGAAUUCGCGUUUACCUACCGGAGUCAGUCCGGCGCUCCUUCGACGACGUCGACUUGGCGAAAUAAACGCAAGGAUAUACUUCAAUCUCAGGGGCUGAAUUUGAUGAUUUGCUGCUGAACUUUGCGAAUCGACUUGCUUUGAGCAGAUAUUUGUGAGGAUGGGCAGAAGAUGAUGGAUGAAGGCUUGAAGGAAUAAACUCAUAGUGAAGUUUAGUGUUGGGGACACCAAUGGAUUGAAUUUGUUUUUUUUGUAAUAAAAUUGUAACGGUGACACAUUAUGAAUGUAAUAUGAUUUGAAAUGUAAUGAUCUUUUCUGAUUUGUAACAAGAUCAUGAUGGAAGCUCAAAGCAACAUGGAAUAACAAGAACAAUCAUGGAGAAUGGAAUGUAAACAUGAAGGAAUUUGGACUAUUUCUGGUGUAAAUUUGUAAUGAACAGUUGGGUUUUUCUUGUGUAUGAAGUAUGAAGAAGCAACAAGGAUCAAGCAUGGAAUUGAAUGGAGAAGCUUUAAAGGCAAAAUGUUGAAGCUUUUAGGAAUAGGUCCUUUUUCUUUUGUAAUUCAGUUUGUUGUAGAGUUUUCUAUGUAACGGCAUGGAUGUAUCGAAUCUGUAUUAAACACGGACAUGGGGAAAUGGGUGAAUAUUCUAAUGAAGUUCUUUUCUUUCACAUGAAUGUAACUCUUAUUCUCUUCCUUUCCACCUUUUUUGUAAUAGCUUCUAGUAAUGUAUGAAUU